rnacentral:rRNA from 1 species
UACGUAGGGUGCGAGCGUUGUCCGGAAUUACUGGGCGUAAAGAGCUUGUAGGUGGUUUGUCGCGUUGUUCGUGAAAUCUCACGGCUUAACUGUGAGCGUGCGGGCGAUACGGGCAGACUAGAGUACUGCAGGGGAGACUGGAAUUCCUGGUGUAGCGGUGGAAUGCGCAGAUAUCAGGAGGAACACCGGUGGCGAAGGCGGGUCUCUGGGCCGAUACUGACGCUGAGGCACGAAGGCCAGGGGAGCAAACGGG